rnacentral:lncRNA from 1 species
AAUAAUGAGGGGUGUCACGGGGUAUGACUAUAUAGGUCUUGUAGAGGAGAAAACAGGCGCUUCUUUUGCGCAAGGUAUCGAAGGGCGCUAUGUUCAAAAAUCUGAAACUAGAGCCCAAAAUUUGAAAAAAAUGGUAAAAAAAUAGGGGGUCGACCUAUUCCAGGGCUCCUAGAGAAAAAAUAAUGAGGGGUGUCACGGGGUAUGACUAUAUAGGUCUUGUAGAGGAGAAACAGGCGCUUCUUUUGCGCAAGGUAUCGAAGGGCGCUAUGUUCAAAAAUCUGAAACUAGAGCUCAAAAUUUGAAAAAAAAUGUAAAAAACAGGGGGGUCGGCCUAUUCCAGGGCUUCUAGAGAAAAAUAAUGAGGGGUGUCACGGGGUAUGACUAUAUAGGUCUUGUAGAGGAGAAACAGGCGCUUCUUUUGCGCAAGGUAUCGAAGGGCGCUAUGUUCAAAAAUCUGAAACUAGA